rnacentral:rRNA from 1 species
UACGUAGGUGGCAAGCGUUGUCCGGAUUUACUGGGCGUAAAGAGCGCGCAGGCGGUCGUUCAAGUCGCGUGUGAAAGCCCCCGGCUCAACUGGGGAGGGUCACGCGAUACUGAUCGACUCGAAGGCAGGAGAGGGAAGUGGAAUUCCCGGUGUAGUGGUGAAAUGCGUAGAUAUCGGGAGGAACACCAGUGGCGAAGGCGACUUCCUGGCCUGUUCUGACGCUGAGGAGCGAAAGCGUGGGGAGCGAUCCGG